rnacentral:misc_RNA from 1 species
GAAGCGGGCUUGCUCGCGAAGGCGGUAUGUCAGUACCAAAUUUAUUGACUGAUACACAGCCUUCGCGAGCAAGCCCGCCCC